rnacentral:rRNA from 1 species
AUUGAACGCUGGCGGCAGGCCUAACACAUGCAUGUCGAGCGAGCGGCGGACGGGUGAGUAAUGUCUGGGAAAUUGCCUGAUGGAGGGGGAUAACUACUGGAAUCGGUAGCUAAUACCGCAUACCAUCUGAUGUGCCCAGAUGGGAGUAGCAGGUAGGUGGGGUAACGGAUUACCUAGGCGACGAUCCCUAGCUGGGCUGCGAGGAUGACCAGCCACACUGGGACUGAGACACGGUCCAGACGCCUAAGGGAGGCAGCAGUGGGGAAUAUUGCACAAUGGGCGCAAGUCUGAUGCAGCAAGGCCGCGUGUGUGAAGAAGGCCUUCGGGUUGUAAAGCACUUGCAGCGGGGAGGCGUUACCCACAGAAGAAGCACCGGCUAACUCCGUGCCAGCAGCCGCGGUAAUAC